rnacentral:lncRNA from 1 species
UGAAAGUCAACAUCAGUAUUUCCUGUCCUGGGGACAAACCAGUGCCUCAUGUUUCUGGAAACGCUGCAGCAUUUAACUUCAAUUUUAAUCUGGAUAACGCCAAAGCUUUUCCUCAAAUUCACCCCUGGAGUCAGCUCAUAGAUGCUCUGAUUUUGUCUACCAUUGCUCCUCCUUAAUAUCUCUCGCACAGGUGCCAUUGACCUUUAGAUGGGCUGUACGGUGUGGGGUUCGGUGCCAUGGAUCUGCUUCUCCAGGGACCAGGAUCUUGAGAUCUUCAGGCUGGGUUUCCAUGGAGGCAUGGAGCUGCUUUUCCUCCUUCAUAACUGCACUCAAAACAGCCCUGUUGCUCUAGAAUGGAGACUUGGGCAACUCCUUCUGGCACAGAUUUGUUCACCUCAGGUGAAAUUCAGAUAGAAGCAAGCUGCAGGCAGUUUCACCUCUAAGUCCAUGGGUUCUCAACUGGUAACGUCCUCUUAUGGAUGUUAGCCCAUGAGGUCAAUCCUGUAGCAAUCUAAGGCUUGAGAAAAAUUAAUCUUCUGGAAAAUUCCAAGAAUACAUCUUAGGGAAACUGGCUCUACCUUUAUGACUUGGAUCACACAAGGAUAUGCUUUUCAUCUUGGACUAGAACUGAGAGCCAAUGGAUGUGUUAUCUAAAACUAUCCCAGUGUGUUCACUAUACAGAGGAAGAUUCUGAGAUUCAAGACUCAAGACUGAAGAAGAUCAUUAUUUUUAUUAUUUUAGUCUUAUGCACAAAAUGAUAUCUACUGAAUAAGCAGGUUUUUAAUAGGUGACUUAUAUAUGUUAGCAAAAAUAAACACUUUGUCUUUUAGAUCUAUUCUAGUUUUUCAGUAGCUGUAGACUUAAGUGCUAACUUUUAGCCCAUAGGAUAAGAAGAAACCAAGUCCUAAAAGUAGGCCAGCACCAGGGUUCAGGCCUCUGACUUCAAGCCAAGGGCUCAUCAUCUUGAAUUGCGCACGAAUUUUUACACAGCGCCAAAGGAAACUGCCUGUACUUACUGUUGUAGGUGCUUUGCUGGAUUCAGGAUGCAGACAAGGUCCACGCAUUGUGGUUGGCUUUAUUGAAGUAUCAGAGAAUCAUUUUCUUAAGAGAUGGUAAUGGAAUCCAUGCAUUUGAAAUAAAUCAACAGAAAAAAAUGAUUCAGAAGAGAGGGAACUAGCC